rnacentral:rRNA from 1 species
CAGUAGCCACGGUAAUACGAAGGGGGCUAGCGUUGUUCGGAUUUACUGGGCGUAAAGCGCACGUAGGCGGAUCGAUCAGUCAGGGGUGAAAUCCCAGAGCUCAACUCUGGAACUGCCUUUGAUACUGUCGAUCUGGAGUAUGGAAGAGGUGAGUGGAAUUCCGAGUGUAGAGGUGAAAUUCGUAGAUAUUCGGAGGAACACCAGUGGCGAAGGCGGCUCACUGGUCCAUUACUGACGCUGAGGUGCGAAAGCGUGGGGAGCAAACAGGAUUAGAUACCCCGGUAGUCCCUGUCUCUUAUAC